rnacentral:rRNA from 1 species
UACGUAGGGGGCGAGCAUUGUCCGGAUUUAUUGGGCGUAAAGAGCUCGUAGGCGGCUUAGCAAGUCGGGUGUGAAAACUCCAGGCUCAACCUGGAGACGCCACUCGAGACUGCUAUGGCUAGAGUCCGGUAGGGGACCACGGAAUUCCUGGUGUAGCGGUGAAAUGCGCAGAUAUCAGGAGGAACACCGGUGGCGAAGGCGGUGGUCUGGGCCGGCACUGACGCUGGGGAGCGAAAGCGUGGGGAGCAAACAGG